rnacentral:rRNA from 1 species
UACGGAGGGUGCAAGCGUUAUCCGGAUUUACUGGGUUUAAAGGGUGCGUAGGUGGGUAGGUAAGUCAGUGGUGAAAUCUUCAAGCUUAACUUGGAAACUGCCAUUGAUACUAUUUAUCUUGAAUACUUUGGAGGUAAGCGGAAUAUGUCAUGUAGCGGUGAAAUGCUUAGAUAUGACAUAGAACACCAAUUGCGAAGGCAGCUUACUACACAGUAAUUGACACUGAGGCACGAAAGCGUGGGGAUCAAACAGGA